rnacentral:lncRNA from 1 species
UGCACGUGCACCUGAGAAUUGGUGUGCGUGUCUCUCAGAGGAGUCUUUUCAAAAUAAAAGCAUAACUAAGGGGAAGUUCAUAGACAUUUUCCAACCUGUGAACUUACGAAGUUUGGUUAGCCAAACACUCACAUUGUGAAGACUGUGAAUGGAAUAGAAGCAAACCCAGUUUCAAGCCAACUGAAGCUGUCACGGAAGUUGGACCUAAUGUGUACCCUUGCACUUUUAGCUUACACUUGAUCUCAUUCAUCACUUACAGGAGGGACAACAAGAAGGAAGUGCUGAAGAACACAAUAGGGAUUUGAAAGUUGCUCAGACUGGCAC